UUAUAGUUAGGUCAGAAGACCUAAUCAUCUCAGAUUCCAGUUUCUUCCAAUAUUUUCUGUAAUUCAGCCAUGGAGACUCUCAGUAAUAUCCAGAUGAUGAUGAUGAUGAUGAUGAUGAUGAUGAUGACAAUAACUAUAUGACAAUGUGGACAAUAAAGACAAAGUCCCAGAACAGCUUGUUAUGAAUGAUCAUACACAAUACAGGAACUGGCAAACGGAAUCCAUUGAUUAAACAAUACACCAUCCAAUGUCAUCUACUUUCUACCUAGAAAGAAGACUGUACACUGAAGAACAGAAGUAAAUCCUGUGUACUUGGAGCACCGGGACAAAAAGGAAUCAGACUGGGAGCCUGAAGCUGCAGUGGAUAAAUUUGUGCCAGACUGGAGCAGGCCUGGUAUGGUCAAUGCAUAAAACUGAAGAGUCCUGGGGGCCUGGGUAGCUUAUCCGGUUAAGCACUGGACGUCAGCUCAGGUUCUGAUUCCAGGGUCCUAUGAUGGAGCCCCAUAUGAAGCCCCCACAUCCAGCCCCCCACAGAACCCUGCACAGAGGUCCCUGCUCAGCGAGAAGUCGGCUUGUCCCUCUCCCUCUGCCCCUUUCCCUACUGGUGUGCACGCGUGUGUAAUAGCUC